rnacentral:rRNA from 1 species
CUUAGUGGCGGACGGGUGAGUAACGCGUGAGAAUCUACCUUCAGGACGGAGACAACAGUUGGAAACGACUGCUAACCCCCGAUGUACCGAAAGGGCAAAUAUUUAUAGCCUGAAGAAGAGCUCGCGUCCGAUUAGCUAGUUGGAGAGGUAAAAGCUCACCAAGGCGACGAUCGGUAGCUUGUCUGAGAGGACGAUCAGCCACACUGGGACUGAGACACGGCCCAG